GGAGGCGUGCCAGAGUGGCCGAAUGGGCUAGUCUCGAAAACUAGUAUAGUCGCAAGGCUAUCAGAGGUUCGAAUCCUCUCGCCUCCG
rfam:Candidatus Roizmanbacteria bacterium RIFCSPHIGHO2_12_FTLL_39_8 rifcsphigho2_12_scaffold_16674, whole genome shotgun sequence.